CGUCAUUGAAGUUCAAAGCCCUAAGUAGCUCCCGACGCCACGAAGCACUCUAAAUAACUGACAAAGUACUGGUGCACGCACACCAGCACGCCAUCCGUUGUGAUAAGACGUGGUCUUGAGCAAGAUGCUCAGCUUAAGCUCUCACCCAGUGCCCUACUAUGUUACAAUGAGACCGUCGCCUCCGUGAAUGAUAAUAGCCUAGCAUGCGUGUGAUUCAAGUUCAAGUAUGUUUAUUGAGACAAGAAAGAAAUACUUCUCAAAGGGAUGGAGUAGCUUAGGCUAUUUCUACCCCCCCCCCCCAUGUGUGAUAUUACACCCAGAACUGUGAUACAGAAGGACGAUAAGUGCGCUGUGACAGAAAUAAAACAAAUUUGCAUGGUAGUGGUCGAAAUAAUUACCAAAAAUUAAACAAGAUAUUAUAGAAGACUUCAUAUUAGUAACAUAAUAAUGUUAAGCUCUACACAGGGAAAGCAAGAUUCAAGAGCAAGAAAAACAGGACGAUUUGUAACACCUGGGAUGAAGGGCAUCCUCUGAUGCUGUCUGCAGAUAAAGCAACAAAAAGUUUAGAAUAAAUUCAUACAGUGAGUAAUCAGUAAUUGUAUAUAAACACACAAAAAAGCAUGUGAAAAUAGACCAGAUGUUCCACAAUCUUCAAUGAAGAAUUCAGCAGCUCAGACUUCCUGGGCAAUUACAAGGCUAAAACUUAUGUGGAGCUGGUUGAGACUCUGGUAAGGAACUAUGACACAGUGGGCUGCAGAUGUCCCUCAAAGAACAUAUUCUUGAUGAUCAACUUCGUUAAUUCAAGGAAAACAUGGAGGUGUACUCAGAGGCAGGGCAAGCACUUCCACAAGGAUAUACUGUACUGGAACUUGAAUGCCGCUACCAUGGACUGCUAUAAUAAGAACUUGAUGGGAGAUUACAUUUGGGCGCUGAUUUGUGAAAGUGAUUUACGGUAUAAUUGUACAUCUCGAAAAACCACUCACUCAUAAAUCUUUUUUUAGUAAUUUUUGUAUAACUUUAGUAUAAAUAUAUGUUAAUUUUGAUUC